rnacentral:rRNA from 1 species
UUUUUGGAGAGAGAAGGGGCACGUCUAGGCAGAGUUCAACGUCGGCAUCCGUCGGCAUCGUCUCGUCUCGUAGCUCUGCCUGCCGUACCGUACCUGUUGACGCCAAGCAGAGCAGGAGUGCACAGCGGCACAGUCGCCCUCGAUGGAGGAGGGGUCGGUGUGUUUUUUACCGCUCGAAAAUGGCGGAGCCCGAGCGGCGAGACGGGCACACCGGCAGGCCCCUUCUUCGCAAGGCGGGCAGCGGGCGGGCCUAGGUGUUUGGGCCCCCUUCCCUUCGUUGCCUGGUCUUUCCGGCGGAAAAAAAUCAGGGCAGUGGCGCCGAGUGUCCACGGCGACGGGUACGGGCGGGCGGAGCGGGAGGCAGCAAUUGCAGUGGGAGUGGGGGCAGGAGAAGUGGUAGGGAACCGUGGAAGAGGGGGCACGGAGGUAGGUACGAGAGUGAGAGGACUCGGAGGAGGGAGGAACAAGACGGCGACUAAGGGAGGGGCAGGCACCGGCGGUAACCGCGGCAGGCACGAGACACUUCUCUACCGCUUUCACUGGGACUAGAAGUUCGAUGGCAUGAUGUGCGUUACCCCCGUCUCGUAGUAGUAGCGGCCGAGGCGCGGCCGCGAGCCCAGGACCUUGCAGUUCGUCCCCGACGGGGACUCGGGCCAAGUGCUCCCCUUGCGCGACCAGACCGCGCCGGUCCAAAAUCAGGGGCGACAGAAGUGGACACUCAUGUCGAUGGUACACCACCUGCUGGUGUUCUUGCAAGAGUCUACCCUCAGACCCCUCUUCUUCUUCGAUCACCACGGCCUCCCGCAGUUCCUGCCGCUGCAGCAGCUCCAGGCGCUGACCACCGUCCUACGAAGACUUCGAGAAAAGGAGGCUUCACGCAAGUUCUUGCAGUAAAAGUCGCGUUGACUAUUACGAUUUUCCGUUAACGUCGGAAGAAGGGAGUUGUUUUCAAACCUAGGACUUCUAUAACAGCACGUUAAAUAAUAGUCAACAGGAGCCGAUCGUCGACCAAGAUGACAACAGCAGUGUCCUUCAUUGGGGCGCUAUCCUUUAACCUUUCUCGUUUUACCAGAGUUCGAGUUGAUACAACCUCUAAGGUAAACCUUUCGGAUGACACACAACGCCUUCAGACUCAAGGGUCAUUUUAUAGGAACACGUUUUUUGAUAAAAGAAUCAAGCAAUAAAACAUAAUAAACAACAUGGUUGUGAUUACACAACAGGAAUUAUUAUAAGGUGUAUAUUCAUGACAGUUCAAUCACUUCGUCCUCAGAAAAGUAACCUCAAGCCGGGUUUGUCUCUCCAACUACACCUAAAUAGUAGUGGGUUCGGUAGGUCUGUGUAGAAUAAUAGACUACCGAGGGAGGCCCUUCGUGGUACCUCCCCACGACCACAACGGCAUGGCUACAAGAGUUAGUCCAGUUUACUCCUAGAACCACAACCUCUUAAGGGUCUAGAAUUUGAAGAACAACUGACCCGUCAGUUAAGCCCAAAAGUAGAACAAGUCGAGGAAGGAUAGUUACUAUGAAGACAAUUGUUCUACACCACCCUAAGUAUAGGUAUAUCGAGUGAGAGGCAUAAACGCAACGUGGGGAACAUGGACUCUCACGUCCGUGAAAGUCUACGAUAAGGUCGUCUACAAUUCCUUCUCUAAAGCUUCCGUUUCUUCCUCAACCUGUUUUUCCUGCAGCUGAUACUCCGUCGUAACCGGUGCUUUGAGUCUUAACGGGUUUUUUACAAAUUAAAUCUUUUCCUGUUUCACGAUUUAAGUCGAGGCAAGUUCGUCAAGAAUAGACUUUUACUCCUUACCAACUUCGGUAUACGACGUAAAACGAAAGAAGCCCUAAAGAAGCUCUGUAGUCUAGUGUCGGUCACCCCAGCCAAAAGAGUCAAAAGGUUCCUCUUCGAACUGUUCGAUCAGCGUCGUCUACGAAACGUGGUACUAUAAUAUGCGAAGGUGAUGAUACAGGUUAUAGUAGAUAAAUGUGUUAAUAGUCUCCGUCGACGUAUACGUUCCUUCUUGUUCCAAUAAGACUUUCCUCUAAAUGGAUAACCACAACUAUCCUUGUCACACCUAUGAACCCAUAUGGGAUGUAAUAAAGCGUACUUAUGGCGAUGACCACGUGGAGGUCUAAUGAAACGGUUUUCACCUGUUUUAACCCCAAAAGGAUGUAUAUUGACCCUCCUCUACAGUUUCCUAUUAAUACCCACCACCGCUCGAGCAGACUGUGUCGAUAGUUUUAAGAAGUGUCGCAUAUCCUAUCUGGUAUAAAACCCAAAGAAAUCCUAGACCCUCGAAGGUCUAGUACGACGGUGUCCAGAAACACCUUUUAAAUCUGGAAGUUAAGGAGAAUCAGUCCUCCUCGAAGAUCCACUACCAUAGACCCUAAAACUAGCCUACUCGGCGGGUAUAUAAGCAGUCCUGUACGACCUCCUCUUCAAACCUAGAGAAACCUGUCAACAACGUCGGUUGAAAGACGUGCUCAUAGUCUUUGUGACGAUGCUCAAGUUUCUCCUUACGUUGUGGCUCUUUUUCUAACAAUGUUUCGAAUUAUGGUCAGGGCUUUUUAGUGAGACCGACCUCUUUCUUCUGUCAUAAGCCGCACCAGACAAGCUAGAAGAUGUCUUAUAUCAGGAGUAGUCUCUAGGGCUCCUGAGGUGUUUCAUGAUAGGGGCGAAAUUGGACCUUCUAUGAAGUUCAAAAUCCCUGAACCUACUUGUAUCGUUUUUACAGGAAUCUUCUAAUAUGGUACUGAUAAUAAAGCAAGCGGUUCUUUUAGAAACCGCUGUUUUACGUGACUUCUGAGAUGGACAAGAUAACUUGACAAGCCUAUACAACCGUACGCCCCUUCUAGAACCGGAAUAGGGACGAACACAAGUGGGACAAUACGAUCUUGAGCCCAACUAACCUAACGCAUAGGUCUCUUACGGAUCACUUGGUCCGAACCUUAAACUAUAAGGCAGGUUCAUGUCGAUAUACUGCCAAACACGAGGGAGUACAGUACUAACGAGGUGUAAUGCACGAACCACCCUUCCUCUACUUCCCUGUUCUUCAGCAAAAAUGUUCUGACAUUAACCGUCGCUGUUUCUCCGGGGUAGAGCAACGUGGGGUCUUCAUCACUUGAAGUAAGAAGUCGUCGUAAAGCUACGUGGCAGUUACACCCGUUAGAAAGGCGAUGUCCUAGACGAGCGCGACUUUCUGUUUAUGUGGCGUUCUGGUCGUCGCCUCCUUUGUUAGUUGCUGGGGUGAUUGGGCUCCGUAAUAACCUCUAAGGCGGAUGUACACGGUGACCUCAGGUAUGACCUCCUGUUCCUGUAGGUCCGCUCGUAGUUCUUGGAGCAGUGUUCGUCGCCCUCCAGUAAGGGACCGUUCUUUUGCCUGUUCCGGAUCAGCAGCGGCCCGCCCUAGUACUAGUACUCCUUAUAUAUCCUAUUAUUCCACCACAUAAUGGUGGUACGGGCAACUCGACUACAAACAAAGUCGAUCUCUUUAGCAAUGCGGGCGAGUAUUAAGGAAAAAGCUGCGAGACCUCUUAUUAUUGAUGACCAUAUAGUAAGAUAUAGUUUCGGCCGAACACUUUAUUUACUAGGCGGCAGAACGGAAGUGAACAAAAACAAAAGGCG